AUUUGUAUGAUAUCCCAUGGGAAUCGGUGGUGCUGCCAUGAUAAUUAGGCCCAGAGUGGAGGCGACUUACUGUAGCUCAAAAUUAUAUCUUUGUACUAUGGACGUAUCUCUAGAAAUCGAAAGAGCGGACAAACCACAUACCAUCUCUUGAAUUGUGUGAUGAAAGGAAACAAAAAUUAGCAGGUGAAUUGGUCGAUUCAUGCACACUCUAUUAUUUUCAGACGGAUUGAGUAGAGGUUGGUUGCUGGCUAGUCAUGGUGGAUGGUAGAAGAUGAAGGAUGAUGCAAGUGUAUGUCAGGAAUGGUGGUUUGCAUCUAUGGUGGGCAUUUCUACUAAUCUAUUUGCCUUGCUUUUUGAUUUGGACAUGUGCUUCGUGGCGGUUCAAAGAGAUUUCAAGAUUUGUUUUGUUUGAGAAACCAAAUCAAAGCCAAGCCCCCAUUUCAUACAGGUACUUGUAUAUAUUUGUUCAUGUAUAUAUGUAUUUUGUUUUAUUGGCCAUGUGUAUAUAUGUAAUGUUGUAUAGUUACACGUUAAUUACUAUUUACCUUUUAUUUGUUGUGAUUUCGUUAUUAUUUUGUUCUAAUAUUUGUUUAUAGUUCAAAAUGAGGAAAAUA